rnacentral:rRNA from 1 species
UACGUAGGGUGCGAGCGUUUAAUCGGAAUUACUGGGCGUAAAGCGUGCGCAGGCGGUCUGUUAAGACCGAUGUGAAAUCCCCGGGCUCAACCUGGGAACUGCAUUUGUGACUGCAUCGCUGGAGUGCGGCAGAGGGGGGAUGGAAUUCCGCGUGUAGCAGUGAAAUGCGUAGAUAUGCGGAGGAACACCGAUGGCGAAGGCAAUCCCCCUGGGCCUGCACUGACGCUCAUGCAUGAAAGCGUGGGGAGCAAACAGG